GUGGGGAAUCUUGCGCAAUGGGCGAAAGCCUGACGCAGCCAUGCCGCGUGAAUGAUGAAGGUCUUAGGAUUGUAAAAUUCUUUCACCGGGGACGAUAAUGACGGUACCCGGAGAAGAAGCUCCGGCUAACUUCGUGCCAGCAGCCGCGGUAAUACGAAGGGGGCUAGCGUUGCUCGGAAUUACUGGGCGUAAAGGGCGCGUAGGCGGACAGCUUAGUCAGAGGUGAAAGCCCAGGGCUCAACCUUGGAAUUGCCUUUGAUACUGGCUGUCUGGAGUUUGGGAGAGGUGAGUGGAACUCCGAGUGUAGAGGUGAAAGUCGUAGAUAUUCGGAAGAACACCAGUGGCGAAGGCGACUCACUGGCCCGUUACUGACGCUGAGGCGCGAAAGCGUGGGGAGCAAACAGGAUUAGAAACCCUUGUAGUCC
rnacentral:rRNA from 1 species